GCGCUGGGAACUCGGUACAGAACCUCACGUUGUGCCCCAGCUCCAUGACCUUCGGCUGACUGAAUGGCGUUAAACGCUGCCAAGUCUUCCUCUAGGAUACUUAGAGCUUUUUCAUAAUCUGGCACUUCUGCUUGCUUUUCUUCACAUAUCAGAAGGCAGAGGGCUUGGGAGAGAACAUACGUGCGUAAACAGGUGUUAAUUCAGAAGUGAAUGGAAUCAGCUGCAUCUCUUCCUCAGCAUCUCUGUCAGGGAGAAGUUGCUUUGCCUCCUAUUCGUAGACAAGGGAGGCCUCGUGUGGUCAGUUCUGCUAACAGCUUCGUGCAAAGCUGCGGGGAGGAAGGAGCCCUGCCUCGGGCACUCCUGCCUGCUAUCUGCCAGCAGCCUGUGGCAUAACCGCGCUCUGACACGCUCUGAUUUGAGGAACAAGAAAUACCUGAAUAUGAUCGCAGGUGGUCUGUUACAGGACAGUGGAUUCUCCAGCAAAAAAGUGACAUGGAAAUGUUCUAAGAGAGACCUUAUGUCAUCAGAAAUACAGUCAGUACUCAAUGGGGACAUUACAGAUUCCUGUGUUGCUGUUGGUUGUGAAAUACAAACUGCAUAUAGCUUUAAAAUGUUAGGGUCUGAGAACCCAGUUUAUGAAUAAAAUGAAAACAUCACUAUUAUUUGUUUUUACAUAAUUUCUUAUUAAUUCAUUUUGUUUUAAAUACUAUGGAAAUGUAAAGCAUUUAAAUACAUGUAAUAUGUUCAAUUAAAGAGAUUCAGUACUUACUAAUCCAAGCUUUUUUAUGGUGGGGGAUUUUGAUACAUACAUGGACAUAUAAUCUAUUACAGUCAUAUUACUUGUGUUUUAUAAUGUUAACUAGAAAACAGUUUGUCAAAUAUCACAAUUUGUACUUGAUUGCAGACUGCUUGCAAGCGGUUGAUCUGGUAACCUUAAUCAUAGGCCUCACUUUCUCCAAAUAUAGGCUUUGUGUGUUCAUCCCUUUUUACUUAUAAGACUUGUUGCCUCUUUCAGUGGAUUUAAAUUCAUUUCCUUGCUUGACAUUAGUCAAAUUUUCCCACAAAACUGAAGGUACUCAGCACUGGGAUAUAGCUCUGAAACACACUGCUCAGGCAGGUCAUCACUUGGCAUACAGGAACAGUUGGUGUGAGAGGCCCUGAGGCUCCAGCUGUACUCAGUGUUAGGGUGUAGCUCUCACAGCUCUGCUCGUUCAGGUCAUCACCUGGUGCAUAGAAAUGGCUCAUGUCAGGGGGGCCAUGAGCUGGCGCAGCCAGAGCACAGCACACCCUGAGGUGUGAUCGGUGACUGCAUCUCCGCACUGGUGCAGGUGGGGCACUUUCUGACGAUGGAAGCUGUUUGGGUUUUUUUUCAUCAUAUGCUCCCCAAGACUUCACAUACAACCCCUUCCCCCUCACUGCAGAAUAGUUCAAUUUUUUUAGACCAAACCAAAACGGAGCAGCCUUCUCUCUUGAGAUUGACAGGAUAGUUGGGGGCAAAAGCAACGUGUAUUAUUUUACAUUUGUAUCUUUAUUUCUGUGAAUGUAAAUGAGGGGCAUUUGGCAAUGGAGCAUUUUACCCCUGGAGUUCUACUCAGGAUCUGAUCUCUGGUAACAUAUUGGUAUUUUCUUUUCUUUUCUUUUUU
ensembl:lncRNA